AAAAAAGGCGAGGAAAGCAGAGUUGCGCGACUCGAGCUUCCCGGGAAAAGUUGGCAUCAACGUUGAGAUGACGAGGGCGAAAAAGGUAUGUGUCGCGACGGCGCCGAUGGAUCGCAACGUAGAGAAGAGCCUCAUCCGGAACUCAACAGAUCGAUUACAAAAGUAAUACGCUUGCAAUGCGUCUCGACGUUCAUUUUGUCGCCGAUUGCAACUAGCAGCGUUGCGGAGGAUCGUCGAUCGACCGAGAAAAAAGCCGCCUCAGCUUCAGGGUUUCGGGGAGAGACGUGGCUCCAGUCGUCUCGGAGGUAUCUACUCAGGUGUCGUCGGACCGCUUGAGGUAAUAAUGCUCGAAGGAUAUAACCGAACAACGGUUCGAUGACCCAGGUGGUAAAGGAAUUGAAUACUGUGACAUGGAUAGCCUAAAUACGGACGCCGACGGAGCCAUUGUUCACCUUGUAACCGAUACUCUCUGUUUCCUAGAAUGAGCCGAUCGUCCUCCAUCGAUAUUUAACCGUUUUAGUGCGAUCGCGCCGUUCAGAUUUCCUGUCGAAGAGAGCCACAGCGAUGUACAGUUUACAAUGCGCUCGGUUUCGAUUAUAGCGUAUCGACGCUUCUUCUUCCAAUUACUUUUUUUUCAAUUAACCCGUUCGAGACGAAGAAUGGUUUCAAAGACGAUCCCCAGGAGCGGGAAAUUUUUGUUUCUCAUGUCAAAUGGUUUAAACAGAAGAAAUGUUUGGAAGUUUAUCUCAGAACGAUCUUAUCUUCACGGCUACUUCUUCACCAAUAACUAAUAACUCAAGUUCAAGAUCAUUACGCACGAUACUUCUACACGGUUGCUUGAAGGAAGCGCUAUCGCGCCACACGGCACUAUCCAGCACAGUUUUUUAAAUAACCUGUGACAC